AUUGAACGCUGGCGGCAGGCCUAACACAUGCAAGUCGAACGAGUGGCGGACGGGUGAGUAAUGUCUGGGAAACUGCCUGAUGGAGGGGGAUAACUACUGGAAACGGUAGCUAAUACCGCAUACCAUCAGAUGUGCCCAGAUGGGAUUAGCUUGUGGGUGGGGUAACGGCUCACCAAGGCGACGAUCCCUAGCUGGUCUGAGAGGAUGACAAGCAAAACGGGAACGGAAACACGGGCCAGACUCCUACGGAAGGAAGAAGUGGGGAAUAUGGCACAAUGGGGGCAAGCUGGAUGCAGACAUGCGGGGUGUAGGAAGAAGGCCUGCGGGUGGUAAAGUACUUUCAGCGGGGAGGCGUUACCCGCAGAAGAAGCACCGGCUAACUCCGUGCCAGCAGCCGCGGUAAUUC
rnacentral:rRNA from 1 species